GACGGGGGGUCCUAGCGUUGCUCGGAAUCAUUGGGCGUAAAGCGGGCGUAGGCGGCCUUGUAAGUCAGGAGUGAAAGCCCUGGGCUCAACCCAGGAAGUGCUUUUGAUACUGCAAGGCUUGAGUGUGGGAGAGGGUCGUGGAAUUCCUGGUGUAGUGGUGAAAUACGUAGAUAUCAGGAGGAACACCGGUGGCGAAGGCGGCGGCCUGGCCCAACACUGACGCUGAAGUCCGAAAGCGUGGGGAUCAAACAGG
rnacentral:rRNA from 1 species